UCCCAGCUUGUCAAAUACCGACGCAAAAAUCACCCUUUAGCGUCUGUAUAGAACGCACCGGGCAGAGCAGCAGCUCAACUGCAAUGUUGUAAGAUUACCUAAUAUGAAGAGC